AGUAAAGUUUUAUCCUGGCUUAUUUUUUCAUUUUCAGAUUAAAGGUACAUGUAAGGCUUGACAUGCCAAAAGUUUUAAAUUCGUUCAAAACUUUUUAAAACAAUUAAUAAAAAUGUGUUGAUAAUAUUAGAAUUCUCAGUACCUAAUGCUAAUUAUAAAUGAAAGUUAGAAUUGGUAAUUCUGUUGUUAUGUCCGGCAAAAAUUUGUGCCAGCAGCCGCGGUUACACUAAGGGACAAACUGAAAAAAUAUUGGUUAAAAAUGGUUAAGUGAAAAGUUAUUUUCCAGUGGUUUUGUGCUGAUAAAGGGUGAAAUCAAUUUUUUGGUAAAUAAAACAAUCGAUAAAUAAAUUAAAGCUGAAGCUGUUAAGAUAAAGUUAUGAACCAGGAUUAGAUACCCUGUUACUCUUUGUUUUAAAUCAAAAUACCGGGGUACUAAAUAGUUAUUGUCUUAAAACUCAAAGGAUUUGGCGGUAAUUUAGUCUAUUUAGAGGAACCUGUCCUAUAAACGAUAAACCACGUAAAAUCUUACCCUACUUAGUAAAUUCAGUUUGUAUACCGUCAUUAUUAGGUAACUUUGAUAAAAUUUAGUUACUGCAAUAAUUUUCUUUUAAUAUAUUAGAUCAAGGUGCAGCUUAUAGUGGAGGAAGUGAUGGGUUACAAUAUAAUAAAUAUAAACGGAUUAAAAAAUUAAAUUUUUUUAUAAAGGAGGAUUUAAUAGUAGAGAGGUUUUAAUAAGUCUUCUCGAUUUUAGCUCUAGAUUAUGUACACAUCGCCCGUCGCUCUCGUUAAUUAAAGCGAGAUAAGUCGUAACAUAGUAGGUGUACUGGAAAGUGUACCUAGAGAUA
rnacentral:ncRNA from 1 species